CACCACUGUUUUGUUUUCAAAUUACUGUUUUCUUUUCCUCAGUCAUAUAUUUCCCUUCUAAUACCCUUGUUUUCUAGCAUAUAAGAGAAGCAUAUUGAACUUGUGGCCUUGUUGCUAGGUUUCAAGCUGCAUUUAUGCAGUCUACUGAGACAUUCUUCUCAUUUUUGAAUUCUGAAUCAAGUCCCAAGGCAACAGUGCCCUGUUUCUUAGCAACACAGAUGGGUAGACUGCAUAUUCCAGCUCUUUUGUACAAUGGAAGAAUAAACAAUUCCCUGAGUAAGUGUGUGCUGCAAGUCCAUUGCUUCACUUAAUUUCACAGAGAAGAGAGGAAAGGGAAGCUUUCUGUGGUACAGCAGAUGAAGUUUGUCUUGAAGUCCCUCUCUUUGCAGAGUGGUUACCCCAGCGCUCCUUUAAUCUGAAGUUAAAACCACGGCAUUUAAACAUAGAUCCUGAACUUGAACCACUGAAAGGAAAGCAAAAGGACUCUGACAGGAGAUUUUUUACAUACAAGCCUUAUGAAAGCAAGUGGGAUCCACAGAUGCUACUGCCAAAGAGUCCCUGGCCACCUACAUCUGCUUUAUUACUGAGGCCUUUUCUUAGCUGGAAGAAGUCAGUCAAGGAAGUAUCUGUCAUGCUGAUUGUACUAAAAUUGUG
rnacentral:lncRNA from 1 species